rnacentral:rRNA from 1 species
AGAGUUUGAUCCUGGCUCAGGACGAACGCUGGCGGCGUGCCUAACACAUGCAAGUCGAGCGGAGGUAUUGAAGGGAAACUUAAGAUACCUUAGCGGCGGACGGGUGAGUAACGCGUGAGGAACCUGCCUUAUACAGGGGGAUAACACAUCGAAAGAUGUGCUAAUACCGCAUAAAGUCAUUAGGACGCAUGUCGUGAUGACCAAAGGAGCAAUCCGGUAUAAGAUGGCCUCGCGUCUGAUUAGCUAGUUGGCAGGGUAACGGCCUACCAAGGCGACGAUCAGUAGCCGACCUGAGAGGGUGACCGGCCACAUUGGGACUGAGACACGGCCCAGACUCCUACGGGAGGCAGCAGUGGGGAAUAUUGCGCAAUGGGGGAAACCCUGACGCAGCAACGCCGCGUGGAGGAAGAAGGUCUUCGGAUCGUAAACUCUUGUCUUUAGGGACGAAAGAUGACGGUACCUAAGGAGGAAGCCACGGCUAACUACGUGCCAGCAGCCGCGGUAAUACGUAGGUGGCGAGCGUUGUCCGGAAUUACUGGGUGUAAAGGGCGUGUAGGCGGGUAAGCAAGUCAGAUGUGAAAUACCGGGGCUCAACCCCGGGGCUGCAUUUGAAACUGCAUAUCUUGAGUGCAGGAGAGGGAAGCGGAAUUCCUAGUGUAGCGGUGAAAUGCGUAGAUAUUAGGAGGAACACCAGUGGCGAAGGCGGCUUCCUGGACUGUAACUGACGCUGAGGCGCGAAAGCGUGGGGAGCGAACAGGAUUAGAUACCCUGGUAGUCCACGCCGUAAACGAUGGAUACUAGGUGUAGGAGGUAUCGACCCCUUCUGUGCCGGAGUUAACACAAUAAGUAUCCCACCUGGGGAGUACGGCCGCAAGGUUGAAACUCAAAUGAAUUGACGG